rnacentral:rRNA from 1 species
GACGUAGGGCGCGAGCGUUGUCCGGAUUUAUUGGGCGUAAAGAGCUCGUAGGCGGCUCAUUGCGUCAACCGUGAAAACCUGCCGCUCAACGGUAGGCUUGCGGUUGAUACGGGUGGGCUGGAGUUCGGUAGGGGAGACUGGAAUUCCUGGUGUAGCGGUGAAAUGCGCAGAUAUCAGGAGGAACACCGGUGGCGAAGGCGGGUCUCUGGGCCGAUACUGACGCUGAGGCGCGAAAGCUAGGGGAGCAAACGGG